AGUGACGCCAGACGCCAGAUCCUAGGUGUGGAGGGCGGCGACACGGAGUUGUGAACAGAAAAUAUCGAAGUCCACUCCAGGAAAGAGGCCUUUCGUCCGGAAAAUCUGCAUCCAGCAAUAUGGUGUUAAUUCAGCUCUACAGCCCCCAAUCUUUACUUCAAAGGACUACUGAGGACAGAAUGUAUAUUAAAGAAAUGUAGAAAUUCAGGAGCCAUGAAGGAGAAGACAGGGGGCUUCGUGAUGCAUGGAGAACCUCUAAUAGGAAAAGCUUCACAACAGAAGGAACGAAGGAUAGUUGAGGAGGCACAGUGGUAUGUACCUGGAGUCACAGCUACUUGGGAGGCUGAUGUGGGAGGAUCGCCUGAGCCAGCAGUUUAAGGCUGCAGUGAGCCAUAAGCAUGCCACUGCACUCCAGCCUGGGCAACGGAGCGAGAUCCUGUUUCAAAACAACAACAACAACAACAACAACAACAAACACCAAAAAAACACACAAAAAAAGUGGAAUGAAAAGCAAGAUUUAUACCAUCUUCCCCUCAAAUAAGUUCUGCUUAUUCCUACCCUGUUGCCUAUAUUUACGUGAUGUUCUGUUCUUCAUUUCUGUAAUGUAAAGUAGAAAAAAUUUUAAAUAUAGACUACAAAGUAUACGACUUACAAAGUA